UAGCUCAGUCAGUAAAGAAUCUGCCUUCAAUGCAGGAGACCCAGGUUUGAGUCCUGG
rfam:Haemonchus contortus, ISE/inbred ISE, WGS project CAVP01000000 data, contig: Hcontortus_contig_pathogens_Hcontortus_scaffold_22114